rnacentral:rRNA from 1 species
CCUACGGGUGGCAGCAGUGGGGAAUAUUGGGCAAUGGGCGAAAGCCUGACCCAGCAACGCCGCGUGAAGGAAGAAGGCUUUCGGGUUGUUAACUUCUUUUGACAGGGGAGAGCAGAAGACGGUACCUGUCGAAUAAGCUACGGCUAACUACGUGUCAGCAGCCGCGGUCAUUCGUAGGUGGCAAGCGUUGUCCGGAUUUACUGGGUGUAAAGGGCGUGUAGCCGGGCUGAUAAGUCAGAUGUGAAACCUGGGGGCUCAACCCCCGAACUGCAUUUGAAACUGUUGGUCGUGAGUAUCGGAGAGGCAGGCGGAAUUCCUGGUGUAGCGGUGAAAUGCGUAGAUAUUAGGAGGAACACCGGUGGCGAAGGCGGCCUGCUGGACGACAACUGACGGUGAGGCGCGAAAGCGUGGGGAGCAAACAGGAUUAGAUACCCGAGUAGUC